rnacentral:rRNA from 1 species
GACGAACGCUGGCGGCGUGCUUAACACAUGCAAGUCGAACGGAAAGGCCCUGCUUUUGUGGGGUGCUCGAGUGGCGAACGGGUGAGUAACACGUGAGUAACCUGCCCUUGACUUUGGGAUAACUUCAGGAAACAGGGGCUAAUACCGGAUAGGAGCUCCUGCUGCAUGGUGGGGGUUGGAAAGUUUCGGCGGUUGGGGAUGGACUCGCGGCUUAUCAGCUUGUUGGUGGGGUAGUGGCUUACCAAGGCUUUGACGGGUAGCCGGCCUGAGAGGGUGACCGGCCACAUUGGGACUGAGGUACGGCCCAGACUCCUACGGGAGGCAGCAGUGGGGAAUAUUGCACAAUGGGCGGAAGCCUGAUGCAGCAACGCCGCGUGCGGGAUGACGGCCUUCGGGUUGUAAACCGCUUUCGCCUGUGACGAAGCGUGAGUGACGGUAAUGGGUAAAGAAGCACCGGCUAACUACGUG